rnacentral:rRNA from 1 species
AACGAACGCUGGCGGCAGGCCUAACACAUGCAAGUCGAACGCACCGCAAGGUGAGUGGCGCACGGGUGAGCAACACGUGGGAAUGUACCCUUUGGUUCGGAAUAACGUUUGGAAACGAACGCUAAUACCGGAUGAGCCCUGUGGGGGAAAGAUUUAUCGCCAAAGGAGCAGCCCGCGUCUGAUUAGCUAGUUGGUGGGGUAAAGGCCUACCAAGGCGACGAUCAGUAGCUGGUCUGAGAGGAUGAUCAGCCACACUGGGACUGAGACACGGCCAAGACGCCGACGGGAGGCAGCAGUGGGGAAUAUUGGACAAUGGGCGCAAGCCUGAGCCAGCCAUGCCGCGUGAGUGAUGAAGGCCUUCGGGUUGUAAAGCUCUUUCGCACACGACGAUGAUGACGGUAGUGUGAGAAGAAGCCCCGGCUAACUUCGUGCCAGCCGCCGCUGUAAAAC